rnacentral:lncRNA from 1 species
UUUUGCCUUGCAAUUUUUCUAUGUCUUUUUUCAUUGACUCCAAAUGUUUGUACUUGUCACCUACAAAGAUGGUUCUCUCUCUCAAGGUGAAGGUGAAAGUGAUGCUUCUUGGUCUUUAUUUGCUACAGUUUCUUGUCUUAAGAUGGCCCCCACCCACCUAACGAAGAAACAAAGCUCAGUCCAUAGUCACUUACCCACCCAAAAGUUGCAGUAAAAGAUGUUUAUGUCAAUGCAAAGCUCACGCAUGGCAUUUUUUCGUUACCAUUUGUUCUACUUAAGAUGGGUUUCCCCCCAUGCCCAACGGAAAACUAGGUUCAUGCAAUUUUGGCCACUGUGCACAACCACAUAGUAUCCUAGACACGUGUGGCAAGAAAGCUGAGGAAGAGAGACAUUGUGUAAUUCGCAGUCUUCGGUACCAAAUGUUGUCUUGUGAGUAAUGCUUAUGUUCAUUGAAAAGUCUUGCCGACAUCAAAAUAUAUAUUUAUAUUUGUGAUCCCGUUACUUAUCAAACUAAAAUAUAUUGCCAUUGCAUCAAAACAUGUGAUGAACCUUGAAUUAUCAUAAGAACAUUUGCAAUGAACCGUAUGAUUUCAUUUUCCUUGCAUUGAUUAUUUAAAAUAUAUUUGCAUAGUUUUAAUUGUCCGAUAAUGGUACUCCCUCAGAUCCGAAUUAAUUGACGCAGCCUCAAGGGAGUAGCAAUAAUGUACAUUGGUUCAUCCGAACAAUUUAAUUGAAAACAAAUUAAUGAAUGCCUUUCUCUUUUCGUUUUGUCUUUCUAUGCUUUUUUUCUUGUAGGAAAUAGAUGCUUAAUUAGCUUCUGUCUAUUCAGUUGCUGUUGGUAAGAACAUUGAUCCCUUCUAAAGUGAUGUACAAAGUCAAGAUAUUUUGAGUCCGAUGCAUAAGGUGUGCUACAAAGUGUUUGAGUAAGAGAGUCGAGAUUAAAUAUAAUGUUCAUGAUUCGGAUUAUGAUUAUAUUUAUUUUUCAUAACACAUUUUGUAUCCCGUGGCAACGCACGGAUACUCAGUUAGUAUCAACUAAAGUUUGAAUAAAUUAGCAAUAUUUCGGGACAAUAUUAAAACUGUUAAGUUUACGAAAUGCUCGUAGUCACACCAUGAGACGCCCUAGCUAGCUACAUG